UACAGAGGGGCAAGCGUUAUUCGGAAUUAUUGGGCGUAAAGGGCGCGUAGGCGGCUUGGCAAGUGGAUGGUGAAAUCCCUCGGCUUAACCGAGGAACUGCCAUCCAGACUGCUUUGCUUGAGGCCGGGAGAGGUGAGUGGAAUUCCCAGUGUAGCGGUGAAAUGCGUAGAUAUUGGGAGGAACACCAGUGGCGAAGGCGGCUCACUGGCCCGGUUCUGACGCUGAGGUGCGAAAGCGUGGGAGCAAACAGG
rnacentral:rRNA from 1 species